GAUGAAGAACGCAGCGAAAUGCGAUAAGUAAUGCGAAUUGCAGAAUUCCGUGUGUCAUCGAAUCUUUGAACGCACAUUGCGCCCUUUGGCAUUCCGAAGGGCAUGCCUGUUCGAGCGUCAUUUAUCAACCCUCACGCCCGGCUUGCGGUUGGGUCCCGCCGUGGGCGACCACGGCGGACCCGAAAGGUAAUGGCGGUGCCCGUGGGGCCCUGGACGCAGCGAGCUUCUCGGCACGCGUCCCGGCGGUCCCCGGCGCCGUCUCCACCAAUCCACCACGCAGAUUGACCUCGGAUCAGGUAGGGAUACCCGCUGAACUUAAGCAUAUCAAUAAGCGGAGGA
rnacentral:misc_RNA from 1 species